UGGAUCCAGACUUUGAUUCUGGCUCAGGAUGAACGCUGGCGGCGUGCUUAACACAUGCAAGUCGAACGGGGAUGCCACGCUGACGAGACUUCGGUCAAAUCUUGUGGCAUCCUAGUGGCGGACGGGUGAGUAACGCGUGGGUAACCUGCCUUACACAGGGGGAUAACACUUAGAAAUAGGUGCUAAUACCGCAUAAGCGCACGGUCCCGCAUGGGACAGUGUGAAAAACAUCAGUGGCGUAAGAUGGACCCGCGUCUGAUUAGCUAGUUGGUGAGGUAACGGCCCACCAAGGCGACGAUCAGUAGCCGGCCUGAGAGGGUGGACGGCCACAUUGGGACUGAGACACGGCCCAAACUCCUACGGGAGGCAGCAGUGGGGGAUAUUGGACAAUGGGGGGAACCCUGAUCCAGCGACGCCGCGUGAGUGAAGAAGUAUCUCGGUAUGUAAAGCUCUAUCAGCAGGGAAGAAAGAAAUGACGGUACCUGAAUAAGAAGCCCCGGCUAACUACGUGCCAGCAGCCGCGGUAAUACGUAGGGGGCAAGCGUUAUCCGGAAUUACUGGGUGUAAAGGGAGCGUAGACGGUGAUGCAAGUCUGGAGUGAAAGGCGGGGGCCCAACCCCCGGACUGCUCUGGAAACUGUGUGACUGGAGUGCAGGAGAGGCAGGCGGAAUUCCUGGUGUAGCGGUGAAAUGCGUAGAUAUCAGGAGGAACACCGGUGGCGAAGGCGGCCUGCUGGACUGUAACUGACGUUGAGGCUCGAAAGCGUGGGGAGCAAACAGGAUUAGAUACCCUGGUAGUCCACGCCGUAAACGAUGGUCACUAGGUGUCGGUGGGUAUGGACCCAUCGGUGCCGGAGCCAACGCAUUAAGUGAUCCACCUGGGGAGUACGUUCGCAAGAAUGCAACUCAAAGGAAUUGACGG
rnacentral:rRNA from 1 species